GAUGAACGCUGGCGGCGUGCCUAAUACAUGCAAGUCGAGCGAACGGACGAGAAGCUUGCUUCUCUGAUGUUAGCGGCGGACGGGUGAGUAACACGUGGAUAACCUACCUAUAAGACUGGGAUAACUUCGGGAAACCGGAGCUAAUACCGGAUAAUAUUUUGAACCGCAUGGUUCAAAAGUGAAAGACGGUCUUGCUGUCACUUAUAGAUGGAUCCGCGCUGCAUUAGCUAGUUGGUAAGGUAACGGCUUACCAAGGCAACGAUGCAUAGCCGACCUGAGAGGGUGAUCGGCCACACGAGAACUGAGACGCGGUCCAGACUCCUGCGGGAGGCAGCAGUAGGGAAUCUGCCGCAAUGGGCGAAAGCCUGACGGAGCAGCGCCGCGUGAGUGAUGGAAGUCUUCGGAUCGUAAAACUCUGUUAUUAGGGAAGAACAUAUGUGUAAGUAACUGUGCACAGCUUGACGGUACCUAGUCAGAAAGCAACGGCUAACUACGUG
rnacentral:rRNA from 1 species